rnacentral:rRNA from 1 species
AGAGUUUGAUCCUGGCUCAGGACGAACGCUGGCGGCGUGCCUAAUACAUGCAAGUAGAACGCUGAAGGAGGAGCUUGCUUCUCUGGAUGAGUUGCGAACGGGUGAGUAACGCGUAGGUAACCUGCCUGGUAGCGGGGGAUAACUAUUGGAAACGAUAGCUAAUACCGCAUAAGAGUGGAUGUUGCAUGACAUUUGCUUAAAAGGUGCACUUGCAUCACUACCAGAUGGACCUGCGUUGUAUUAGCUAGUUGGUGGGGUAACGGCUCACCAAGGCGACGAUACAUAGCCGACCUGAGAGGGUGAUCGGCCACACUGGGACUGAGACACGGCCCAGACUCCUACGGGAGGCAGCAGUAGGGAAUCUUCGGCAAUGGACGGAAGUCUGACCGAGCAACGCCGCGUGAGUGAAGAAGGUUUUCGGAUCGUAAAGCUCUGUUGUAAGAGAAGAACGAGUGUGAGAGUGGAAAGUUCACACUGUGACGGUAUCUUACCAGAAAGGGACGGCUAACUACGUGCCAGCAGCCGCGGUAAUACGUAGGUCCCGAGCGUUGUCCGGAUUUAUUGGGCGUAAAGCGAGCGCAGGCGGUUAGAUAAGUCUGAAGUUAAAGGCUGUGGCUUAACCAUAGUAGGCUUUGGAAACUGUUUAACUUGAGUGCAAGAGGGGAGAGUGGAAUUCCAUGUGUAGCGGUGAAAUGCGUAGAUAUAUGGAGGAACACCGGUGGCGAAAGCGGCUCUCUGGCUUGUAACUGACGCUGAGGCUCGAAAGCGUGGGGAGCAAACAGGAUUAGAUACCCUGGUAGUCCACGCUGUAAACGAUGAGUGCUAGGUGUUAGACCCUUUCCGGGGUUUAGUGCCGUAGCUAACGCAUUAAGCACUCCGCCUGGGGAGUACGACCGCAAGGUUGAAACUCAAAGNAUUAGGGUCUUUAAUGUCUAGUAAUUUUGUGAUAAAAUGUAAUUGUUCCAUAUGAUUCUUUCUAAUGAGUUGUUUUGUCGCUUUUCAUUAUAGGUCAUAUGGGACUUUUUUCUACACAAAAUAGGCUCCAUAAUAUCUAUAGGGAAUUUACCCACUACAAAUAUUAUAGAGCCCAAAAUCCUUUGUUUACUAAACAAGGGAUUUUUCUUUUGUCUCUGCUCCUUUUUUGAUAUAAUAGUUCUAUGUUAAAAUCAGAAAAACAAUCACGUUAUCAAAUGUUAAAUGAAGAAUUGUCCUUCCUAUUGGAAGGCGAAACCAAUGUUUUGGCUAAUCUUUCCAACGCCAGUGCUCUCAUAAAAUCACGUUUUCCUAAUACCGUAUUUGCAGGCUUUUAUUUGUUCGAUGGAAAGGAAUUGGUUUUAGGUCCCUUCCAAGGAGGUGUUUCCUGCAUCCGUAUUGCACUAGGCAAGGGUGUUUGUGGUGAGGCAGCUCACUUUCAGGAAACUGUUAUUGUUGGAGAUGUGACGACCUAUCUCAACU